ACGGAAGGCAGCAGUGAGGAAUAUUGGUCAAUGGGCGGAAGCCUGAACCAGCCAAGUCGCGUGAAGGAUGAAGGUAUUAUGUAUUGUAAACUUCUUUAGCAGCAGAGUAAUAAGGGGGUCGUGACCCCCGAUGCAAGUAUGCUGAAAAUAAGGAUCGGCUAACUCCGUGCCAGCAGCCGCGGUAAUACGGAGGAUCCGAGCGUUAUCCGGAUUUAUUGGGUUUAAAGGGUGCGCAGGCGGUUUUUUAAGUCAGUGGUUAAAUCGCGAGGCUCAACCUCAUCACGCCAUUGAUACUGGAAGACUUGAUUGCGGUUGAGGUUGGCGGAAUUCGUCGUGUAGCGGUGAAAUGCAUAGAUAUGACGAAGAACACCGAUUGCGUAGGCAGCUGACCAAGCCGUAAAUGACGCUCAUGCACGAAAGUGCGGGGAUCGAACAGGAUUAGAUACCCUGGUA
rnacentral:rRNA from 1 species